CUACUCUUUCAACAAAUUCCUCAGUUGCGCAAGCACCACCUAGUAUUUUCUGGAUCUCUUAGAAAAGAUCUUUUUGACUGCCACUUUUGGGGCUAACUCACUUGCUUGUCUCCUGCUUCAGGCAAACUGCCAUCUCCUCAUAGGAAUUAGAAUGAUAAACAUAGACUUCCUGCUGACUUUGCCACUGUGCCUCCCUGCCCUCCCAAUAUUUCUGCCAGCAGUUCUUAGCUGCUCUUCAAAAAGAAACCAUCUCCGUUUGCAGAUAGUCCUAAGCGCUGAAGGCACACAAGCCUUUUUUUGUCAGCAUGGCUUCUAACACAGCAAUCCCAGAUAGCAGCACAACCAGAAAAUUCUAAAUGUUAUACCGUGUACCUCAUGCAAAGGACUGGAGAAGAGUCUGCUGAAGAAAAGCUCGUGUUUGGUUGGAUGGAGGAAGGACUCUCUGGACCAGUUGUGGCAGUGCAGCCCUGCUCUCAAGCCCUCAGAGAUAUGGAAGGGUCUUCCACUGCCAUGGCAUUUUGUGCACUUGGAGUCAUGUGGAGUCCUAGUGGCAGAUCCUGGUCAUGUCAACACUGA
rnacentral:lncRNA from 1 species